CGCUCAGGUGGUCCAGUGGUUAGAGCGUCCGCCUCAGAUGCGGGAGGUCGUGGGUUUGAUCCCCAGUCGAGUCA